CCUACGGGAGGCAGCAGUGGGGAAUAUUGGACAAUGGGCGAAAGCCUGAUCCAGCCAUGCCGCGUGUGUGAAGAAGGCCUUCGGGUUGUAAAGCACUUUCAGUGGGGAAGAAAGCCUUGGGGCUAAUACCCUCGAGGAAGGACAUCACCCACAGAAGAAGCACCGGCUAACUCCGUGCCAGCAGCCGCGGUAAUACGGAGGGUGCGAGCGUUAAUCGGAAUUACUGGGCGUAAAGCGCGCGUAGGCGGUCUGAUAAGCCGGUUGUGAAAGCCCCGGGCUCAACCUGGGAACGGCAUCCGGAGCUGUCAGGCUAGAGUGCAGGGGAGGAAGGUAGAAUUCCCGGUGUAGCGGGGAAAUGCGUAGAGAUCGGGAGGAAUACCAGUGGCGAAGGCGGCCUUCUGGACUGACACUGACGCUGAGGUGCGAAGGCGUGGGUAGCACACAGGAUUAGAUACCCCAGUAGUC
rnacentral:rRNA from 1 species